UUUCCGUAGGUGAACCUGCGGAAGGAUCAUUACAGUGUUCUCUGCCCUCACGGGUAGAAACGCCCACCCUUGUGUAUUAUAUCUUUGUUGCUUUGGCAGGCCGCCCUCGGGCACCGGCUCCGGCUGGAUCGCGCCUGCCAGAGGAAACCCAAACUCUGAAUGUUAGUGUCGUCUGAGUACUAUCUAAUAGCUAAAACUUUCAACAACGGAUCUCUUGGUUCUG
rnacentral:misc_RNA from 1 species